GCCACAUUUUAUUCAGAGCAAACAAAACCAAUCAAGGCCUUUCACAGGGUGUGAAUGGAAGGGACCCCCCAGGAGCUCUGAGUCCAGCUCAGCCUGCCCAGAACCAGCUCUGGAGUUCCACCAGUGCCUCUGUGCAGCAGCACCCUGCACCAGCUGCCCACUGCUCCCACCAGGGAAAGAAUGAAAGGAUGGAUUUUGAACCUGGAUCAAACUUCUGCUCUUCCCAGGAAUUUCAGUGAGAGGUGUUGAGCUUCCCAGAGUGUUUGAAGGAGCUGAACCAAUUAGAAGAACCAUUGAAGCAGGAGCUUCCCUCUGCCUCUGCCAGCUGGAAGUCAGCAGCGUGCUCACCAUCAGCUGCUCGGGGCAGGCUCAGCCUUUCAUCAGGAAUGGGCUCCUUCUCUUCGACUGAAACACUGCAAACUUUGUGCUCUGAAGAAUGAUAAUGUCCUGUGCAUAAUGUACAUUUUCUUUACCUUUUCCAGUCUGUGCCUGGCAGCAGAGCACACUUGUCACUGCUUUUCUCUCCUCGUGCCUUAAUGAGAAUCUCGGGUUUGGGAAUGUGCUGGUUCUGUCCUUUGUGUCUAAUCUGUGCCCUCUAUUUCUCUCCCCCUCUUGGAGAUAAAAG
rnacentral:lncRNA from 1 species